rnacentral:rRNA from 1 species
GACGAACGCUGGCGGCGUGCUUAACACAUGCAAGUCGAACGGAAAGGCCCUGCUUUUGUGGGGUGCUCGAGUGGCGAACGGGUGAGUAACACGUGAGUAACCUGCCCUUGACUUUGGGAUAACUUCAGGAAACUGGGGCUAAUACCGGAUAGGAGCUCCUGCUGCAUGGUGGGGGUUGGAAAGUUUCGGCGGUUGGGGAUGGACUCGCGGCUUAUCAGCUUGUUGGUGAGGUAGUGGAUUACCAAGGCUUCGACGGGUAGCCGGCCUGAGAGGGUGACCGGCCAAAGUGGGACUGAGAUACGGCCCAGAGUCCUGCGGGAGGCAGCAGUGGGGAAUAUUGCACAAUGCGCGGAAGCCUGAUGCAGCAACGCCGCGUGCGGGAUGACGGCCUUCGGGUUGUAAACCGCUUUCGCCUGUGACGAAGCGUGAGUGACGGUAAUGGAUAAAGAAGCACCGGCUAACUACGUG